CGGCGGUACGAGGCGCGCGCUCGGGGUCCCGGUCGCGAGGAGGAGGAGGAUGUGGCACGCGGAGGGGAAAUGGCUGCCGAAAACAAGCCGGAAGAGCGUUUCCCAAAGUGUAUUCUGCGGAACUAGCACCUACUGUGUUCUCAACACCGUGCCACCUCUAGAAGAUGAUCAUGGGAACAGCAAUAGUAGUCAUGUAAAAAUCUUUUUACCGAAAAAGCUCCUUGAAUGUCUGCCGAAAUGUUCAAGUUUACCCAAAGAGAGGCACCAUUGGAACACUAAUGAGAGAUCAUGAUGCAGCCGUCCUUUUGGAUUUCUUUUUAGUAAUGUGUGACCCUUCACCUUUGAUCCCCUGACCUGCAUUACCUUGGUAACCAUUUCAUUUUUUAAUUUAAUUUCAUUUUUUAAUUUUGAUGUACA